rnacentral:snRNA from 1 species
GACUGUGGGGCUGAUUCUACCUACCACUGAGCUAGGCAGCUGUCACCUCCUUCUUCAUCAUCCCAUGCAUGUCUCUCUGGAAACUGUGCUCUUGUCCCGAGAGGACAUUUUCUGAUAUGGAAGAUUCCUUUGUGUAAGGACAUACGAGUAGCUGUGUUCUCUCUCACCAACCUUCAAACGAGCUCUGAAGGUCCAUUUGUGGAUCCCAGGUUAAUAUACAGAUCUAAAUCAAGGGUUGCAUGUGUCCAUCUGUCUUUCUUUU